UACGGGGGGGGCAAGCGUUGUUCGGAAUUACUGGGCGUAAAGGGCUCGUAGGCGGCCAACUAAGUCAGACGUGAAAUCCCCAGGCUUAACCUGGGAACUGCGUCUGAUACUGGAUGGCUUGAGAUUGGGAGAGGGAUGCGGAAUUCCAGGUGUAGCGGUGAAAUGCGUAGAUAUCUGGAGGAACACCGGUGGCGAAGGCGACAUCCUGGACCAACACUGACGCUGAGGAGCGAAAGCCAGGGGAGCGAACGGG
rnacentral:rRNA from 1 species